rnacentral:lncRNA from 1 species
AUGGUGACCGCGACGGAAGGGGCGGGGGGACGGUGUGGCCGGGAAUCCCCACUGGGCAAAAUGAUUGGUGGUGGGUGGGUGAGAGGCUGUGAGGGGCCCUGGCUGGAUGUAGGGAGCUGCCUCAGUGAGUCUCAUACAUGCUCACACACAUGCACACACGUGUUACACACAUACACACAGAUACACACGCACAUCCUCACAUAUGCCCAGAUACACACAUACACACACACAGGCUCAGAUACACACAUGCACAAGACACACACACACGUGCUCACACACACGCACACACAUAUGCCCAGAUACACACGUGCACACACAGCACAUGUUCACCUACACAAUGCACACACCUGCACACAGACGCACACAUGCACGUGCUCACACACAGACACAUGUGCUCACACACAUGUACCCAUAUGCACACACAUACAGGUACCUGCGUGCGCACACAUGCACCCACUCCUGGGCACACAGGCAGCUCAGUCACUGGACCUCCUGCGUUACUUUCCCUUGGCCUGGACUCCCCCUUCCAGAACAUUCCUAGCUCCGGCACACUCUGUGAACCUGCCUUCCAGAUGGAUGAGCUCCUGGGACAGUCUGAGGCACCGGGCCAGGAGGCCCUGGCGGGGGAGGGCGGGGCCGCUGCCUUGGGCGGAGCCUCUGCCGGGGCCUCCCCGCAGGCAGGGCGGCUCCGGCUCCCCAGGUGUCUCAUCCGCCACAGCUCAGGUCCCUCCAUCUGCCGCGGGGCGGGCGCUGAGAACCGUCCUGUGGGGCGGGCUGUGCAGGAGACGCCCCUGCGGUGCUGCGUGGCCGCAGAUGGCACGGGCCCUUCCUCGGCCUCCCUCUCACUUCUGUCGGCUCCCGGGCUGCGGAGCAGGGGCUUGGGGGCCGCCCGGGGGCUGGCAGCCUCACAACAGAGGCUCUGGGCCGGGAGAACAGCACGUAAGGGCCCCCGUCCCGCAGGGCUGCGGUGCCUGGGCCAGCCUGCAGGGUGGGGGCAGGCAGGGAGCGCCGGGGAGCAGGGCGGGCUCAAGGGUCUGGCAGGGCAGGCUGCUUUCCCAGUGGCCUUUGCGUUUGCUAGCAAGGACCACAGAAAUUCCUUCACUGUCCUGCAGGCCGGAAGUGCGCAGCAGGGUGUCCCGGGCCAGGCUUCCUCUGAGAGCCCGGGUAGAGCCUGUGCCCGCCCCUCACGUUGCUGGUGGCUGUGCUGCAGUGCCUCACCCCCGACUCAGCACCCCCAACCCGCCCCCCCACCUUCUCCGGGUGUCUCCCCUCUUCCUAUCAGGACCCCCUCUGCACCUGCAAAGACCCUGCUCCCAAAUGAGGCCGGCUUCCCUGGCACUGGCCCUCAGGAUCGCGCCAUAG